rnacentral:rRNA from 1 species
GGAGGGUGCAAGCGUUAAUCGGAAUUACUGGGCGUAAAGCGCACGCAGGCGGUCUGUCAAGUCGGAUGUGAAAUCCCCGGGCUUAACCUGGGAACUGCAUUCGAAACUGGCAGGCUAGAGUCUUGUAGAGGGGGGUAGAAUUCCAGGUGUAGCGGUGAAAUGCGUAGAGAUCUGGAGGAAUACCGGUGGCGAAGGCGGCCCCCUGGACAAAGACUGACGCUCAGGUGCGAAAGCGUGGGGAGCAAACAGGAUUAGAUACCCUGGUAGUCCACGCCGUAAACGAUGUCGACUUGGAGGUUGUUCCCUUGAGGAGUGGCUUCCGGAGCUAACGCGUUAAGUCGACCGCCUGGGGAGUACGGCCGCAAGGUUAAAACUCAAAUGAAUUGACGGGGGCCCGCACAAGCGGUGGAGCAUGUGGUUUAAUUCGAUGCAACGCGAAGAACCUUACCUACUCUUGACAACCAGAGAACUUAGCAGAGAUGCUUUGGUGCCUUCGGGAACUCUGAGACAGGUGC